rnacentral:ncRNA from 18 species
UUUAGUGAUGAGCUUGACCGCAUAUGAAAAUUGAUGAUUUAAUAAAGGUAGCCUCUGAU